rnacentral:rRNA from 1 species
AUUGAACGCUGGCGGCAGGCUUAACACAUGCAAGUCGAGCGGGGACUUCGGUCCUAGCGGCGAACGGGUGAGGAAUGCUUGGCAAUCUGCCCAGUAGCGGGGGAUAGCGUUUCGAAAGGAACGCUAAUACCGCAUACGCCCUACGGGGGAAAGGGGGGGAUCUUCGGACCUCUCACUAUUGGAUGAGCCCAAGUCGGAUUAGCUAGUUGGUGGGGUAAAGGCCUACCAAGGCGACGAUCCGUAGCUGGUCUGAGAGGAUGAUCAGCCACACUGGAACUGAGACACGGUCCAGACUCCUACGGGAGGCAGCAGUGGGGAAUAUUGGACAAUGGGCGAAAGCCUGAUCCAGCCAUGCCGCGUGUGUGAAGAAGGCCUUCGGGUUGUAAAGCACUUUAAGCGAGGAGGAAUGGCUGAGGGUUAAUAACCUUCAGCAGUGACGUUACUCGCAGAAUAAGCACCGGCUAACUCUGUGCCAGCAGCCGCCGUAAUAC